UGCACAAAAUUCAAGUGGUAUAAUUAUAUCAUCACAAAUUUUAUAUUAUGAGAUGGCUACAAUGACUCAUUUUGGAAUAUAAGGGAAGACACCUGCACCAGGUCAGGCCGUAUUCUCUGCUUCUAAAUUUGCUCUAAUUGGGUACUUUCACACUCUGCGUUCUGAGGUGCAAGCUUGGAUUUAAGGAACAUAUAUCUCCAUGGCAACAAACUAGAACUCAACUGGUACCUUGUACAGUGGUGAACACCAACAUUGUAGGUUUUGACUUUACUAGCAUUCUAUUUGGAUUGUAAUUUUUUCAUAAAAGAACUUUUUCCAAGUUUUUAGUUGUAAUAACGUUUACAUAUGGCUCCAAUUUUGCGACUCAAAUGGAAUGCUUGAUUAAAUUACAAUGUUAUACGAUAUGAAUUCUUGUCAUUGCUAU